CAAGAUCUCCUCACAUAUGAAAACCUUUUCGCCCCCAUCGAUCUCUCCUCUCGACGAAAACCUCCUCAGCGAAAACCUUCUCGAUGAAACCCUCUGCUCAGCCAAAACCUCACUCAUCCCCAUCUCUCCGCCAAAAGCUCUUCUCGGCAAAAACCUCUGCUCUGCCAAAACCUUGCUUGCCCCCAUCUCUCCGCCAAAACCUCUGGUCAUCUCCUCUGUCCGCCAAAACCAAGCCUCCACCAAAACCUAGCCUCUUUCUCCCGGAAACCUCCAUCUCCUCCCAAAACCAAGCCCCCACAACAACCUACAUCUCCCCCAAAUCCCCACACGUCCCGUGACCUAGCCUCCGCCACUCUUCAACGACUUGAGGUGUUUAGGACAAUCGACGCCGUUGGAAAAGGCUCUUCUCGUGCGACUAGUAUCUCAAAAGGGCACUUCCUCUUAAGAUAUUCCCAUAUCAAUAUCUCCGAAGUUAUACAAAUUGCAAAACAGCAUGUCAAAGAUGCCAAUUUACCUGAUAUUGAAGUUGUAUGUAUCUUGUGGGAUAUGCUAAUGGAUGUUGUUCAAUGGUCUAGUAAAAACUAGUAACAGAAUGCAAAUUCUGUGUUUCGUCAGGUUAAAACAACAAUUGCCGCAUCCAACACCUCCAAAACUGUGACAAAUACCAAAAUUAGAGCAAAAAUCGUGAAGAAAGUGUAUCUUUGCCCGGCCAGAAGCAUGAUCCUCCUGAAGAGGAACCAUUGAGGAUAUUCUAUGAAUCUCUGUCGAAACAAAUUCCCUCAAGUGAAAUGGCACAAUUUUGAGGAAGCUGAAGAGGAAGAAUGAUUAAUAGUGAUUGCUUGGAACAAACUAAUAGUUUAUGGGCCUUCCAAAGGUGUGACUGGGAAGUACUUCGAUGAAGAAUUAUCAAGAAGGCUUUGAGAUUUAAGCGAGAAGAUGGUUAAAGCCAAUAAGUAAAGAGCAUUCAAGUCAAGAUGAUAAGUACAAUCUAUUAAGAUCAUUUAAAUUCAUGCAAUAAGAUGUAGUCGAGAGGAGUAGUUUUGAGUGUCCUAAUUUAAAUUUCUUUUUUAAGCAAGAAAUUAUGUUUGUUAUAGAAGUGUAAGGAUGAUAAUUUGUAUA